UCUGGUGUAGUGGUUAGUGCGUCCGCCUCGGAUGCGGGAGGUUGCGGGUUCCAAUUCCGGCCUAGUCAUAACAA